GAUGAACGCUGGCGGCGUGCCUAAUACAUGCAAGUCGAGCGAACAGAUGCGGAGCUUGCUCCUCUGACGUUUGCGGCGGACGGGUGAGUAACACGUGGAUAACCUACCUAUAUUCCUGAGAUAACUUCGGGAAACCGGCGCUAAUCCCGGAUAAUAUAUUGAACCGCAUUGUUCAAUAGUGAAAGACCGUUUUGCUGUCACUUAUAGAUGUAUCCGCGCCGCAUUAGCUAGUUGGUAAGGUAACGGCUUACCAAGGCACCGAGGCGUAGCCGACCUGAGAGGGUGAUCGGCCACGCGGGAACGGAGACACGGACCAGACUCCUGCGGGAGGCAGCAGUAGGGAAUGUGGCGGAAGGGGCGAAUGCCUGACGGAGCAAGGACGCGUGAGGGAGGAAGGUCUUCGGGGGGUAGAACGCUGUUAGGAGGUAAGAACAAAUGUGUAGGGAAGAAGGGAUGUCGUGACGGUACCUGGAGAGAAAGCCACGGCUAACUACGUG
rnacentral:rRNA from 1 species